AUUGAACGCUGGCGGCAUGCCUUACACAUGCAAGUCGAACGGUAACAGGUUAAGCUGACGAGUGGCGAACGGGUGAGUAAUAUAUCGGAACGCGCCCAGUCGUGGGGGAUAACGUAGCGAAAGCUACGCUAAUACCGCAUACGAUCUACGGAUGAAAGCGGGGGAUCGCAAGACCUCGCGCGAUUGGAGCGGCCGAUAUCAGAUUAGGUUGUUGGUGAGGUAAAAGCUCACCAAGCCUGCGAUCUGUAGCUGGUCUGAGAGGACGACCAGCCAAACUGGAACUGAGACACGGUCCAGACUCCUACGGGAGGCAGCAGUGGGGAAUUUUGGACAAUGGACGCAAGUCUGAUCCAGCAAUGCCGCGUGCAGGACGAAGGCCUUCGGGUUGUAAACUGCUUUUGUACGGAACGAAACGGUGAGCUCUAAUACAGUUUGCUAAUGACGGUACCGUAAGAAUAAGCACCGGCUAACUACGUGCCAGCAGCCGCCGUAA
rnacentral:rRNA from 1 species